AACGCUAGCUACAGGCUUAACACAUGCAAGUCGCGGGGUAACGAGAGGGAAGCUUGCUUUCCUUGUCGACGACCGGCGCACGGGUGAGUAACGCGUAUCCAACCUGCCCAUUACCACGGGAUACCCCGUCGAAAGGCGGCCUAAUACCGUAUGCAGUCGUCAGAUGACAUCAGAGGACGACGAAAGGAUUGGCGGUAAUGGAUGGGGAUGCGUCUGAUUAGGUAGUUGGAGGGGUAACGGCCCACCAAGCCAUCGAUCAGUAGGGGUUCUGAGAGGAAGGUCCCCCACAUUGGAACUGAGACACGGUCCAAACUCCUACGGGAGGCAGCAGUGAGGAAUAUUGGUCAAUGGGCGCGAGCCUGAACCAGCCAAGUAGCGUGAGGGAUGACGGCCCUAUGGGUUGUAAACCUCUUUUAUGCGGGAAUAAAAUGUUUGACGUGUCAUACAUUGUAGGUACCGCAAGAAUAAGGACCGGCUAAUUCCGUGCCAGCAGCCGCGGUAAUACGGAAGGUCCAGGCGUUAUCCGGAUUUAUCGGGUUUAAAGGGAGCGUAGGCCGCAAGUCAAGCGUGUUGUGAAAUGCAGGGGCUCAACCUCUGGAUUGCAGCGCGAACUGGCAUGCUUGAGUACGCACGAGGUAGGCGGAAUUUGUGGUGUAGCGGUGAAAUGCUUAGAUAUCACGAAGAACUCCGAUUG
rnacentral:rRNA from 1 species